GCGGAGAUGCCCGAGUUGGUCCAAGGGGGUAGACUUAAGAUCUACUGUACAUAGUACGCACGGGUUCGAACCCCGUUCUCCGCA